rnacentral:rRNA from 1 species
GGCGGACUAUUAAGUCAGGGGUGAAAUCCCGGGGCUCAACCCCGGAACUGCCUCUGAUACUGGUAGUCUUGAGUUCGAGAGAGGUGAGUGGAAUUCCGAGUGUAGAGGUGAAAUUCGUAGAUAUUUGGAGGAACACCAGUGGCGAAGGCGGCUCACUGGCUCGAUACUGACGCUGAGGUGCGAAAGUGUGGGGAGCAAACAGGAUUAGAUACCCUGGUAGUCCACACCGUAAACGAUGAAUGCCAGACGUCGGGCAGUAUACUGUUCGGUGUCACACCUAACGGAUUAAGCAUUCCGCCUGGGGAGUACGGUCGCAAGAUUAAAACUCAAAUGAA